rnacentral:lncRNA from 1 species
UCUCAGUUAUCGGGUUUGCUUGUUCGGUCCCUUCUGGGCUCUUUUUGGCAAGCUAUGCUUGCGCCAAUAAGCUCAUGAGUAAGCUGCUGCCGGGGUCUACUCCGCCUCACUUUUUAUUAGAUUAUGGAACAAAGUAUAGAGAUGAAGAAUUUGAGAAUUAUGAUAUUGGAGAACACGGAUACGUGGGGCUUAAAGGACAUAUUGAUAUGGGGAAGGAGCAAGAUGAAAUUGAUGGAGGGAAGGCUUUGGUGAGUGAUGAAUAUGAGCAAGGAGGUUUCCAUAUUAAUGAUGCGAAUGAGAUUGUGGACGAAAAUGAGUAUCAAGAAGGUGUUGGUGAGUGUGAAGAUGAAAUGGAGGAAGCAGCAGUUGGAAUUGAGGUGAAAUUUGAAUCAAUUAGAGAGGAAGAAGGGAAACCGGCGCCAGAAGGAACCCAGGGUCAGCUUCCUGUAGAUGAGGUGCAUGCUGUUGUUGUUGAAAUUGCUGGAGAUGAGACA